rnacentral:tRNA from 1 species
UUUGAAGUAGUUUAAAAAAAAUAUUAAUUUGUGGUGUUAAGGAUAAAUAUGGAGAAUUUUUUUAUUUCUUUAAAA